rnacentral:tRNA from 1 species
GUUCAUGUAGUGUAGUGGUUAGCACGUUUCGUUGUGGUUCAGACGCAGCUCCGAAUCGACCCUGGUUCGAUUCCAGGCAUGGACA